rnacentral:rRNA from 1 species
AUAUGUAGCCAUAUUAUGUUGAAAGCACCGGUUCUCAUUCGUUCAUCGAAGUUAAGCAACAUCGAGCCUAGUUAGUACUUUGAUAGGUGACCGCUUGGGAAACCUAGGUGCUGUAAGCA